AAAUGCAUAGGCAUGAUAGUCCCACUACCGGCUGUCAAGUGUCCCCUAAACUGGGAAAGUUCCACCUGGCCUUGAAUUCGCUAUGUAGCCCGGGGUGGCCUCACACUCAAGGCGAUCCUCUUGCCUCAGCCUCCUCUUGAGCACUGCAAUUCCAGACGCCACCAUGGCCGGCACAGAUCUUUUUGAUAGCUGAAUGGUAUUCCACAAACACCCUAUGGAUAGACCACAUUUUGUGCAGCCACUCAUUAGUUGGUGGUUACCUUUGCUUGCAAAAGUCAGAUCGUCCCAGGAGGUUUUCUUCUGUCUAGGAUGAGGAUGAGCUAUGGGCUGAGCUUCGGGUCAACAAAAGGCCAUUGGGUCACAAACCUCAACCAGCAGUGCUCGCGUGCAUCCAGUGGGCUAUUUGUGCCACCGAGCCCUCCUUUGAAUCCUGAGAAAGUCAGAGAGUUCCAGCGCUUCAUCACCCUUUCCAAGAAGCUCCUAGUGAUGACCGGGGCGGGAAUCUCCACCGAGUCCGGAAUCCCCGACUACAGGUCCGAAAAGGUGGGACUUUACGCCCGCACGGCCCGGAGGCCCAUCCAGCACAGCGAUUUCGUCCGCAGCGCCCCCAUCCGCCAGCGGUACUGGGCGCGGAACUUCGUGGGCUGGCCUCAGUUCUCCUCCCACCAGCCCAACCCGGCACACUGGGCUCUGAGCACCUGGGAGAGACUCAGGAAGCUGCACUGGUUGGUAACUCAAAACGUGGACGCUCUGCACACCAAGGCUGGGAGUCAGCGGCUCACCGAGCUCCACGGAUGCAUGCACAGGGUGCUCUGCCUGGGCUGUGGUGAGCAGACCCCGAGGGGGGCGCUGCAGCAGCGCUUCCAAGUCCUGAACCCCACCUGGGGCGCGGAGGCCCAGGGCCUGGCUCCCGACGGCGACGUCUUUCUCUCGGACGAACAGGUACAGACUUUUCAGGUCCCGUCCUGUCUUCGAUGUGGAGGCCCUCUGAAACCCGAUGUCGUCUUCUUCGGGGACACUGUGGACCCUGCCAAGGUUGAUUUUGUGCACAAGCUCGUGAAAGACGCCGACGCCCUGUUGGUGGUGGGAUCCUCCCUGAAGGUGUACUCGGGGUACAGGUUCAUCCUCACCGCCCGGGACCAGAAGAUACCGAUCGCCAUCCUGAACAUCGGGCCCACACGCUCCGACGACUUGGCGUGUCUGAAGCUGAGUGCUCGCUGCGGAGAGCUGCUGCCUUUAAUAGACCCACACUGAUCCGGCCUGAUGUCCGUAAGCCGGAAACAGGGGCCUUCCCGAGCGUCCGGCCGCUGGAGAACCCCAGGACUCAUAAUCCCUUCUUCCUCAAAUGCAUUGAAGCUCCUCAUGCAUCUUGUAGGGGGCAGCAAACCAC